UACAGAGGUCCCGAGCGUUGUUCGGAUUCACUGGGCGUAAAGGGUGCGUAGGUGGUGAGGUAAGUCGGAUGUGAAAUCUCCGAGCUCAACUCGGAAAUGGCAUUGGAAACUACCUUGCUAGAGGAUCGGAGGGGGGACUGGAAUACUUGGUGUAGCAGUGAAAUGCGUAGAUAUCAAGUGGAACACCAGUGGCGAAGGCGAGUCCCUGGACAAUUCCUGACACUGAGGCACGAAAGCUAGGGGAGCAAACAGG
rnacentral:rRNA from 1 species